rnacentral:rRNA from 1 species
GACGAACGCUGGCGGCGUGCUUAACACAUGCAAGUCGAACGGAAAGGCCUUUUCGGAGGUACUCGAGUGGCGAACGGGUGAGUAACACGUGGGUGAUCUGCCCUGCACUCUGGGAUAAGCCUGGGAAACUGGGUCUAAUACCGGAUAGGACCGCACUUUAGUGUGUGUGGUGGAAAGUUUUUUCGGUGUAGGAUGAGCCCGCGGCCUAUCAGCUUGUUGGUGGGGUAAUGGCCUACCAAGGCGGCGACGGGUAGCCGGACUGAGAGGUUGGUCGGCCACAUUGGGACUGAGAUGCGGCCCAGACUCCUACGGGAGGCAGCAGUGGGGAAUAUUGCACAAUGGGCGCAAGCCUGAUGCAGCGACGCCGCGUGGGGGAUGACGGCCUUCGGGUUGUAAACGCCUUUCGCCAGGGACGAAGCGUUUUGUGACGGUACCUGGAGAAGAAGCACCGGCUAACUACGUG